GGGUCAUCUGACGGUGACAUCUGUCUCCCCGCCGAUUGCCAGAGUUGAUUUGACUGAUCUGGCUGGUUAGUUCCCUCCUGCCAAGGUGCCAUGUGCAUCCCUUCCUGAGCUGCACGGUCUGACCAAGAAGAUGACCUUCCGCAAUAACAGAGAACCCAGAACAUUUCUUCUGUCAAGUGUGUGCAGGUAGCUCACUCCUCGGUAAAAUCCUCCAGAUGAGCUCUCGGGGUCCACUUGUAGGAGAACGUGAGCUAGUGUGUCAAGCUUCCAAGACUCCAGACACAUCAUUUCACAACUUCCAGACCCAACUUCCAAA
ensembl:misc_RNA 7SK 7SK RNA